rnacentral:rRNA from 1 species
UACGGAGGGUGCGAGCGUUGUCCGGAAUCACUGGGCGUAAAGGGCGCGUAGGCGGCCUGAUAAGUAGGGGGUGAAAUCUUGCGGCUUAACCGCAAGGCUGCCUUCUAAACUGUCGGGCUAGAGCACAGUAGAGGCAGGUGGAAUUCCCGGGUGUAGCGGUGGAAUGCGUAGAGAUCGGAAGAACACCGGUGGCGAAGGCGGCCUGCUGGGCAGUAGCUGAC